rnacentral:rRNA from 1 species
AUGCAGGGGCAGAUUGGUGGGGGGUGGGAUACCUCAACGAAGCCUCCAAGAAGUAGUUCGACGCCGCGGCAUCGUCGUCGUUGUGGCCGCCGCCGGCGGCCAAGGGUUUCCCCCGGUCCCAGGAGCCCCACCGCCAAAACACCGCCAACCGCCGGAUCCGGCGAGCAGAGUCGCACCGGAGCUGAGAUCGAACGGGAGAAGGCGAGGAGGGUGGAGUUGGAGCUGGUCGAAUCAGAUCUGGAGGCGGACCGACGGAGGAAAUCCGGCCACCGCGAGAUCCAUCCACCGGGGCCUCGCCGCCCAAGCAAGCCGAGGUGCCCAGCCGAGCACCCGUAG